rnacentral:rRNA from 1 species
AGUGCGUACUAGGUUCUUCGGCUUUUCGUCGGUUUUCUUGUUGUGGCCUUUAUUGGUGGCGGCAAGUGGCUGACAAUUUUACUUUGAACAAAUCAGAGUGCUCAAAACAGGCGUUUCGCUUGUAUGUUUUUGCAUGGAAUAAUAGAAUAUGACUUCGGUCUAGUUUUAUUGGUUUUAUUGAUCGUUGUAAUGAUUAAAAGAGACAAACGGGGGCAUUCGUAUUGUUGCGUGAGAGGUGAAAUUCUUGGACCGCAGCAAGACGACCUACAGCGAAAGCAUUUGCCAAGCUUGUCUUCAUUAAUCAAGAACGAAAGUCAGAGGAUCGAAGGUGAUCAGAUACCGCCCUAGUUCUGACCGUAAACGAUGCCAACUAGCGAUUCGCCGGUGGAAUAUUUGCCCUGGCGAGGAGCUUCCCGGAAACGAAAGUCUUCCGGUUCCGGGGGAAGUAUGGUUGCAAAGCUGAAACUUAAAGGAAUUGACGGAAGGGCACCACCAGGAGUGGAGCCUGCGGCUUAAUUUGACUCAACACGGGAAAACUCACCCGGCCCGGACACUAUAAGGAUUGACAGAUUGAUAGCUCUUUCAUGAUUUGGUGGAUGGUGGUGCAUGGCCGUUCUUAGUUCGUGGAGUGAUUUGUCUGGCUUAUUCCGAUAACGAGCGAGACUCUAGCCUACUAAAUAGUUCGCUCAUUGUUUAUUGUGUAGCGGUACUUCCUAGAGGAAUUUUCGG